AUGUGGGGAGCAUCAAUCCAACAGGAAUGCGGGACUACCAGGAAACUCCAGAACCUCGCAGAGAUUUCGCCUCGGUUUUCAAAGCUGUACCCACGCCACGUUCCAAAACAGCUUCUCUCCGAGGUGACACGCGGAUGUAGCAAAUGGAGAAGAUCAAGGUCAAGAACUUCAAAUGUGCAAGAGGAUUCUCUGGGUGCUGCUGUCCCACAUCAUUACAAGCUGGAAUACCUAUGGAUGAAUGUCUGCAGCAGCAGAGGGUUCUUCGGUAGUCAAAAUGGGUUGAGGCACAGAUCUAGAUGGAUGGCCAGCAAGCAGCUGGGAGGAGAGUACAGGAUGUCGUUCCUCAAGAAAAAUUAAGAAAUGAAGCAACACCAUCAGUGCUAAGAAAGACAAACCCUAAAAAGCAUGAACCAGGUUCAGUUAAAGCAGCAAUUAAAUGAUUUAGAACAAUUCUGUGCUCAUUUACAAUUUUUAAAGGUGAAAGGUGUGAUUUUGGUAAUGCCUUAAAAUUAAAAGGCCAGCCACUCCAUCUUUAGAAUGAUGUUUUCUCUCCUGGAAGACGUAUCUCAUUGUCAGUCCAUUAGCAGCCAGCCAGAACCCAUCCUUAGAAAAAUAAUUAGCUAUUGAUAUAUGGUAAUACUGAAAAGUUAUUCUUAUUUUUGUUCAUUGCUACUGAAAGAUGUCCUCUCCAGCCUACACUUUCAAUCAUUAUAAAUGCUACUGUGAAAGACUAAAAACACUGUUCUGAGAUAGAUUAGGAUCCACUUCACAAAUAAAUAUAUUUUACCACUAAGAGAAGAAGCA
rnacentral:lncRNA from 1 species